rnacentral:lncRNA from 1 species
ACAAUGAUAAUAGAUACAAUGACAAUAGAUUAACGACAAACAUAUGCCACUUUCACUUGUUUGAACGAACAACAUGAUCCAAAAUUCCAAAGCAACAAGUCUUCAUAUCCCACCAGAUAUAUCCAACUUAAGAUCCAACACAACUACAUUUUUAUUCAAACAAUGAACCUCAUAUUCAUAAAGAAACUCAAACGGUGCAAAGACGACCAAAAGAAAUAUCGACCAGAUUUUUAUUUAUCCAAACAUGUCACUUAAUAAUCCAUUGCAACACAGGAACAAAGAGGUGAUUGAAAAAUUGAACAAAUCCGUAACACAAGAAGUAAGCCAAUUGAUUGAGAAAGGAAACAAACCAUAGCCGAGCGACACAAGAUCAAAUCACCGAACUUCAAGCACCAGAGGCACCAAACUUCAAAGAAUAAACCAACGACAACAUAAAGACAAACAAACACAUUCCCAAAUUUUUGGGAAUUCGGCAGCGGAAACAACUAGUGCGGUUCAAGGCGGAUCAAACCAUGCUCUAGAUACCAUGUUAGAAUCAAAUAUACAAAAUAAGACAAUAACAAAGAGACGGCUAGGGUUUCAUAAAAUUACAUUAUAAUGGCUUAGAAUACAAUGAGUUGUCUUAUGAAUAUAUAGAAAACAUAAAUAGACUAAAUUACUAUUAUGCCUAAAGCCCAAUUACAACCACAAGCCCAUU